rnacentral:rRNA from 1 species
AACGAACGCUGGCGGCAUGCCUAACACAUGCAAGUCGAACGAGACCUUCGGGUUUAGUGGCGCACGGGUGCGUAACGCGUGGGAACCUGCCCUUAGGUUCGGGAUAACUCCCCGAAAGGGGUGCUAAUACCGGAUAAUGUCUUCGGACCAAAGAUUUAUCGCCUUUGGAUGGGCCCGCGUUGGAUUAGCUAGUUGGUAGGGUAAAAGCCUACCAAGGCGACGAUCCAUAGCUGGUCUGAGAGGAUGAUCAGCCACACUGGGACUGAGACACGGCCCAGACUCCUACGGGAGGCAGCAGUGGGGAAUAUUGGACAAUGGGCGAAAGCCUGAUCCAGCAAUGCCGCGUGAGUGAUGAAGGCCUUAGGGUUGUAAAGCUCUUUUACCCGGGAUGAUAAUGACAGUACCGGGAGAAUAAGCUCCGGCUAACUCCGUG